GGACCCGCACAAGUAGUGGAGCAUGUGGUUUAAUUCGAAGAUACGCGCAGAACCUUACCAACACUUGACAUGUUCGUCGCGACUUUAAGAGAUUAAAGUUUUCGGUUCGGCCGGACGAAACACAGGUGCUGCAUGGCUGUCGUCAGCUCGUGUCGUGAGAUGUUCCGUUAAGUCGGAUAACGAGCGCAACCCUUACCCUUAUUUGCCAGCGAUUCGGUCGGGAACUAUAAGGGGACUGCCGGUGAUAAACCGGAGGAAGGUGAGGACGACGUCAAGUCAUCAUGGCCCUUACGAGUAGGGCUACACACGUGCUACAAUGGGGAAUACAGACGGACGCUAAGCCGCGAGGUGGUGAU
rnacentral:rRNA from 1 species